rnacentral:rRNA from 1 species
GACGAACGCUGGCGGCGUGCUUAACACAUGCAAGUCGAACGCUGAAGCUCAGCUUUUGUUGGGUGGAUGAGUGGCGAACGGGUGAGUAACACGUGAGUAACCUGCCCCCUUCUUUGGGAUAACGCCCGGAAACGGGUGCUAAUACUGGAUAUUCACUGGUCUUCGCAUGGGGGUUGGUGGAAAGGGUUUUUCUGGUGGGGGAUGGGCUCGCGGCCUAUCAGCUUGUUGGUGGGGUGAUGGCCUACCAAGGCUUUGACGGGUAGCCGGCCUGAGAGGGUGACCGGGCACAUUGGGACGGAGAUACGGCCCAGACUCCGACGGGAGGCAGCAGUGGGGAAUAUUGCACAAUGGGCGCAAGCCUGAUGCAGCGACGCCGCGUGAGGGAUGGAGGCCUUCGGGUUGUGAACCUCUUUCGCUCAUGGUCAAGCCGCAACAAUGGUUGUGGUGAGGGUAGUGGGUAAAGAAGCGCCGGCUAACUACGUG